ensembl:misc_RNA Metazoa_SRP Metazoan signal recognition particle RNA
GCCGGGUGUGGUGGCGGGCGCUUGUAAUCCCAGCUACUCAGGAGGCUGAGGCAGAAGAAUCGCUUGAACCCAGGAGGCAGAGGUUGCAGUGAGCUGAGAUUGCGCCACUGCACUCCAGCCUGGGCAACAGAGUGAGACUCUGUCUCAA